ACACGGGAGGGUUGGAGGUAGUGAGAGGUUGCUACCGAACAGAGGUCCUCAGGUUCUGCUAGAACCAAGGGGCUUGGUGUUCUACCCCAGAAGAAGCCGGGUUAUUUUUCUUUAUUGUUUUAAAUAAACACCCUUGAAACUGAGGUAACACACUUGUCUGAUCUGUGUAAACAUUUUGAUCAAACCCCCUGGUCUGCCACAAGUGGUGGAGAAUGCGGGCAAGUCUGAAAACAUGGUCAGACCAGGGUUGACGUUUACGCAGUAUCAGCACGGAGGAGUUGAUAGCGCAGUUCGUUCGGGCCCAACAGGACAUUCAGGAACGAACGCUGGAAGAACAGCGUCUACAGAAUGUCCAACAGCUGGAGGAUGUCAGGAAGCUGCGAGGAGAAACACAGACCGAAUCGCAUCCCAAUCGGUUUUUAAAUCAAGCUAACUGAGGAUGAUGAUAUCGAGACCUACCUCCACACGUUCGAAUGGACAGCACUCCGUGAAGGUUGGCCCAAGGCGUAUUAUGAUCAACACCAAACAGGCGGCUAAAUACGACUGUUUCAAGUGGGAGGUACUCAGCCGCUACAGGUACAGCCUGACCCUUUGGUCCCAACUGGAGGUUCUUGGCAGAAGCUUCCCCCCCGAGCCCAAGUGAGUGAACUACUGCGCAUCACCAGAGCAUGGCUCCUAACCGAUGUAGCCACCUUCCCCAUUAUCAACAAAGUGGUCAUGGAUCGCUUCUUACAGGUGCUACCUCACGACAUGAAGAGGGCGGCAAGCCUACGCAUGCCCCAAACCUCGGGAGGACCUCUUGGGAGCCGUGGAGACGCACCAGAAUACAGAGGCCCUACUGAAGAGGACGUAGGCCGAGUCCAGGAGCCGUCGGAGGGAACGGAAGGACAAUCCCACUACCGUACUUGCCAAUCUGACAGUCAGCUGGGCUAAAGGACUGCAGACCCACAGGGAGACCGCCAGGCGAGAGUCAACCCACCACCGACAACCCCAGGUGGAUGAAGACCAAAGGUGAUGUUUUGAGUGUGGCACCCUGCAUGGAAUUGCCCGGGUCGAGAGGAGUCGAUGCCAUCAGGGGGGCCUGGAGACGAGUCGGGCCACACAGUAAACUGUCAUCUCCUGUUGGGCCCACAGCGAACCACCUACACCCAUGGGCCCCGGUGAAAGUUGACAGUCAUGACACCCACACUCCGGGAGUGUGGUAACACUCAUACAAGCACGCCUGCAGGCCCAUCUGACCAGGCAUGGUGAGGAGAUGUCUAUCUCUUGUGCCCACAGUGGCUCCAAGCGGUAUUCGACCGGGCAGACCACCAUCAUGACGCCACAAGAGAGCUGCCAGAUGGUGGUGGGUGCCGUACCAGAGUUUCUGGUACCCCUCCUCGUGGAACAAGAUUGUCCGCAGCACAAGCUGGUAAAAAAGGAGUAUGAGCCCAUGCUCCCCCUCCUUGAUUUCGAGGGACCCCUGAGACACCUUCCCUAAGCCCCCCGAGGGGGACAGUUCAGGACCUCCCAGUGGGAGGAUCCGAACUUGAAAGCCGCUGCAGCCCAAGUGAUAGUGGUGGAUGGCCAGCUUCUUCUGGGGUUGAAUGACCGGCAAUACCCCCAUUUCCAAAUCGAAAAUAACCUGUUGUAUCAGGUAUCGCACGAACAGGGAGAACUUCGAGAGGUGCUGUUGCUGUCCCACCGGUACGUCGGGAGCCAUUCUUUAGCUAGCCCACACCCUUUUGUUGGGGGCGCACCUGAGAAUGGAGAAGAUCCGGUAACGGAUUUCCGCCUGGGUUGAGGCGGGCCGUGGAAGACUAUUGCCGUAGCUACCCAGAGUGUCAAAUCACCGCUCCAAAAACAAACGGUACGAAAGAGGCCAUACCAGAUCUCCAAGGCCUGAAGGAAGGCCGUGAAGCAGGAGGUGGAGGCUAUGCUGAGGAUGGGAGUCAUCGAAGGAGUCCCAAAGUGCAGCACUAUCAUGUUGGUGCCCAAACCGUACGGUAGUCUGCGUUUCUGCAAUGACAUCUAGGGGGUGAACAACAUCAGUUUGUUUGACGCCUACCCCAUGACGAGGGUGGAUAAGUUCAUUGACCGGUUGGGAAAGGCACAGUACAUCAGCACCCUGGACCUGACCAGGUACCCUUGGAAGCCUCCACCCGGGAGAAGACAGCAUUCUUGACACAGGACGGGUUAUACCAAUACCGGGUCUCCCCAUUCGUUCUCCAUGGAGCCCUGCCCACGUUUCAGCGCCUGAUGGACUUAGUCCUCCGACCCCACCAACAGUACGCAGUGGCCUAUUUGGAUGACAUCAUCCACAGCCAAGGUUGGGAAGCGCUGACGUGCCUCCAGGUGGUACUGGAUGCGCUCAGGAAAGCCGGGUUGACAGAAAAUCCCAAGAAAGGCAAGCUGGGGUUCGAGGAGGUGGAGUUCCUGGGGUAUUUGAUUGGACAGGGGGAAUGUUAUGCCCCAGGAGAGGAAGGUCCAGGCGGUUCGUGACUGGCCCGUUCCCCACACCAAGACAAAGGUCAAGUCCUUCCUGAGGCUGGUGGGAUACUAUCACUGGGUUUAUCCAAUGUUGCAGCUAUAGCCUCCCCCUUACCGAUCUGACCAGAGCCCACCUUCCAAAAACAGUGAAGUGGUUGGAUGAGGCCAAAGUGGCAUUCAGGCGCCUGAAAGAAGCCCUGUGCUCCCAUCCGAUUCUCGUGACGCUCGAUUUCCAGGUACCGAUGGUCGUGCAGACGGAUGCCUACGACACAGAACUAGGGUCUGUCCUGUCCCAGGUCAGGUGUGAAGCAUGGGAACGCGGAUGCCCUAUCAAGAAGGGAGAUGUACAUCGCACUGACGACCGGAAGGGGCGUACCGCAGACCAGCCACUAGGGGGAGACUCGAGGCCUGGUGGUGACAGACCUUCUACAUCACGCUGCGGUGGCUCCCUCUGCUGGACGUGCCAGGUCUCGUCGGGGCCUCCGGCCAGGACUAAUUGGGGAUGAUUGCUCACCAGCCGUAAGGGGCCCAUAAAGCUGCCAGGAGGGCAGCACACGGAGGGUUGGAGGUAGUGAUAGGUUGCUACCAGACAGACGUCCUCAUGUUCUGCUAGAACCGAGGGGCUUGGCGUUCUACCCCAGAGGAAACCGGGUUAUUUUUCUUUGUUUUAAAUAAACACCCUUGAAACUGU